UACGUAGGCAGCAAGCGUUGUUCGGAAUUACUAGGCGUAAAGAGUGUGUAGGCGGUGUUCCAAGUCUGGUGUGAAAUCUCCCGGCUUAACUGGGAGGGUGCAUUAGAAACUGGAAUGCUAGAGGAUGGGAGAGGUAAGCGGAAUUCCUGGUGUAGCGGUGAAAUGCGUAGAUAUCAGGAGGAACACCUGUGGUGUAGACAGCUUACUGGACCAUUUCUGACGCUGAGACACGAAAGCGUGGGUAGCAAACAGG
rnacentral:rRNA from 1 species